rnacentral:misc_RNA from 1 species
UAGGAAAGUCAUAAAUAUAUAAAUUAUAUUAUAUAAUUAAUAUAAUAAUAAAAUAAAUUAUAUAUUUUAUUUAUAAUAUUAUUUCUUUAUAAGAUAAAUAUUAUCUAAUAAUAUUUAUAAAGAAAUAUAUAUAUAUAUAAAAAGUCAUUAUAUAAAUUUAAUUAUAAUUUAAAUAAAUUUUAUAUAAAUUAAUAUAAUAUUAAUAAAGUAAUUAGUAUAAAUAAAUAAUAUGAAAAUAAAACUUAAUAAAUAUAUAAAUAUAGUCCAUAUAUAUAUAUUAAUAAAAAAAAGUAAUAUAUAUAUAUAUAUUGGAAUAGUUAUAUUAUUAUACAGAAAUAUGCUUAA